AUGGAUCUGUCAAUGGAGCGCUCGCCGGCAGCACCACAUGAUGCAAUGCAGCACAGGCGCAGGCGGCUCCCGGUGCUGCAUCGUAGUGCUCGCCGCCGGCUCUCGGAGCUUGGUGCUGCAAUGGAGAUUCGCCGGCGCUGCAAUGGAGUGGCAUCGUCGGGGCACCGGAGCAUCCGAGGUGCUGCGAUGGAGCUCCGCCGGGGCUGGAGUGGAGCUGGGCGGAGUUGUAAUGGAGCUUCGCCGGAGCGUCGGUGCUGUGUUGGAGCUCCACCGGACUGCAAUGGAGCUCAACAGGAGUUGCAAUGGGGCUCCGCCGAGGGUACAAUGGAGCUCGUCGGACGCCAUCGGUGCUUCGUUGGAGCAUCGCGCAGGGCUGCAAUCCUGCUGCAUUGA
rnacentral:rRNA from 1 species